AAAUACUUAAAACACUUUCGUUCUAAGCAUCCAGUCGUGACUUACAUUUAUAAUUGUGAAUUUAUAGGCAAUACCACCACUCGGGCAUAUUCUCGGGCACCUACAGGUCUGUCUUCCUUUUCCUCGUCCCUGAGCGAGCCGACGCCAAGAUGGUUUUACAGUACAUGGCUGUCAAGUAACUGUUUAGGAACGAGACCGUCACAGUAAGGACCAGAAAGUUCAUGACAAACCGGCUGCUUCAAAGGAAGCAAAUGGUUGUGGAUGUCCUGC